GAGCUGUUGCUCAUAUUAGAAAUACAUGGAACAGACUGGUGGUCAAGAGGCAGGUUUUGGGCUGGGUGCAGUGACUUGUGCCUGUAAUCUCAACACUGUAGGAGGCUGAGGUGGGAAGAGUCCUUGAAUCCAGGAGUUGGAGACCAGCUUGGGCAAUAUGAUGAGACCCUGUCUCUAUAAAGAAUACAAAAAUAGGCUAGGCAUGGAAGUGUGCACCUGUAGUCCUACCUACUUGGGGUGGCUGAGGUGGUAGGGUCGUUUGAGCCCAGGGGUUCAAGGUUUGUGUGAGCCAUGAUUGAGUCACCACACUGCAGCCUGGGUGACAAAGCAAGAUCCUUUCUCUAAAAAAAGAAGAGGCGAAUUUUGGAUGAUCUUGCCUGCGUCUGAGUACUGACUCCUCCACUCACUGAAAGUCACUUUGGCCAAGUGACUUCGUGUUUUUGUGUCUCUGCUCCCACACCAGUAAAAUGGGAAUAAUAAUAAGAUAUCUUGAUGGACUGUUGUGAUAAAUGAGAAAAUCAGUGUAAAGUGCUUGGAGAUGUGCCUAGUGCAGAGUGGGCACUUGCUGAAUGUUAAUUAUUUGUAUAACUUGCUGGUGUGGGAAGCCUGACUCUUCUCCGGCUGGAAUCCCACAGGCCUGCACAACAGUAAAUGGCCCCGCUGCUAACCCCCAAGAUCUAUAGUGAAUACACAGGGAGGAUGGUGAGUUAUAUCCUUCUGAAAGUGGCUCAACUGUGCCACAGAACUGAUGUUUAUGAUUUCUUUGGAAUAAACGUCGAAAUUAACUCUCCUAGUCUUGAAAUUCGAGAAAGUUAUAUUUGUCUUAUCUGAGUUCCUUUCUCAGGAAACCAACCAUCAGGCAUCUCCAAUAGUAUCAAAAAGCCAGCAGUGGCUCAUGCUUGUAAUCCCAGCACUUUGAGAGGCUGAGGUGGGCAGAUGGCUUGAGCUCAGGAGUUCAAGACCAGACUGAGAGACAUGGCAAAACCUCAUUGAAAAUACAAAACAAAUUAGCCAGGCAUUAUGGUGUGUGCUUGUAGUCCCAGCUACCUGGGAGGCUGAUGUGGGAGGAUUGUCUGAGCCUGGAGCUGGAGGCUGCAGUGAGCUGUGAUUACACCACUGCACUCCAGCCUGGGCAACAGAGCAAGACCCUGUCUCAAAAAACAAAAACAAAACCUGAAGCUUACCAGACCCCUUACCCACCAUGAUGCCUAACCAACCCCCCGCUUCCUGUUGACCAGCUCCUCUUCCUCACCCCUCCCUAAUUCCUGUUUCCCACACAUGGUUACAUUUCUUCCCUGCUAUAAAAAUCCCUAAUUUUAGUAGGCCAGAGACACAGAUUUGAGACUUAUGUCCUGUUCCCCUUGGCUGUAGCACCCAAAUAAACUUUCUUCCUUGGCUAUGCUUGUCUCAGUGAUUGGCUUUCUUCUGUGUAGUGAGCAAUAAGCCCUGGACUGAACCCCUGGCAAUUUGGUAACUCCUGAACUUAGACUGCAUGCAGCAGCCAUAGAGCUCGUAAUCCCUAGAGCCUUCUGGUUUCACGAAACCACAGUUGCAGUGAACAGAAACAUCUCGUUCCGGCUGCGGCAGACACCAAGCUGAAGUCAGCCCCUUCCCUGUG
rnacentral:lncRNA from 1 species